AUUGAACGCUGGCGGCAUGCCUUACACAUGCAAGUCGAACGGUAACAGGGAGCUUGCUCCGCUGACGAGUGGCGAACGGGUGAGUAAUGCAUCGGAACGUACCCAGUAGUGGGGGAUAACGCAGCGAAAGCUGUGCUAAUACCGCAUACGCACUGAGGUGGAAAGCAGGGGACCUUCGGGCCUUGUGCUAUUGGAGCGGCCGAUGUCAGAUUAGCUAGUUGGUGGGGUAAAAGCUCACCAAGGCGACGAUCUGUAGCUGGUCUGAGAGGAUGAUCAGCCACACUGGGACUGAGACACGGGCCAGACUCCUACGGGAGGCAGCAGUGGGGAAUUUUGGACAAUGGGGGCAACCCUGAUCCAGCCAUGCCGCGUGAGUGAAGAAGGCCUUCGGGUUGUAAAGCUCUUUCGGCCGGGAAGAAAUCGCCAUCUCUAAUAUAGGUGGUGGAUGACGGUACCGGAAUAAGAAGCACCGGCUAACUACGUGCCAGCCGCCGCCGUAA
rnacentral:rRNA from 1 species